CGGAGGAAAAGAAACCAACAGGGAUUGCCCCAGUAACGGCGAGUGAAGCGGCAACAGCUCAAAUUUGAAAUCUGGCCCUCUGGGUCCGAAUUGUAAUUUGCAGAGGAUGCUUUUGGCGCGGUGCCUUCCGAGUUCCCUGGAACGGGACGCCAUAGAGGGUGAGAGCCCCGUCUGGUCGGAUACCAAGCCUCUGUAAAGCUCCUUCGACGAGUCGAGUAGUUUGGGAAUGCUGCUCAAAAUGGGAGGUAUAUGUCUUCUAAAGCUAAAUAUUGGCCAGAGACCGAUAGCGCACAAGUAGAGUGAUCGAAAGAUGAAAAGCACUUUGAAAAGAGGGUUAAAAAGUACGUGAAAUUGUUGAAAGGGAAGCACUUAUGACCAGACUUGGGCCCGGUGAAUCAUCCAGCGUUCUCGCUGGUGCACUUUGCCGGCCCAGGCCAGCAUCAGUUCGUCGCGGGGGAAAAAGGCUUCGGGAACGUGGCUCCCUCGGGAGUGUUAUAGACCGUUGCAUAAUACCCUGUGAUGGACUGAGGUUCGCGCUCCGCAAGGAUGCUGGCGUAAUGGUCAUCAGUGACCCGUCUUGAAACACGGACCAAGGAGUCGUCUUCGUAUGCGAGUGUUCGGGUGUCAAACCCCUACGCGUAAUGAAAGUGAACGUAGGUGAGAGCUUCGGCGCAUCACCGACCGAUCCUGAUGUUCUCGGAUGGAUUUGAGUAAGAGCAUACGGGGCCGGACCCGAAAGAAGGUGAACUAUGCCUGUAUAGGGUGAAGCCAGAGGAAACUCUGGUGGAGGCUCGCAGCGGUUCUGACGUGCAAAUCGAUCGUCAAAUAUGGGCAUGGGGGCGAAAGACUAAUCGAACCUUCUAGUAGCUGGUUUCCGCGAGCCCUCUUUCAUGACAGGGGAAAAAAAAAACCGGGGGAAAACAGGUUUAAAAAAGGUUUUAAUCACCUUUUUCCUGUGGCCAUUUUUUAACGUUAAAUGGCGCCAAACCCCCCGAGUUUCCCCAGGUUUCCUUUGGCUCCCCAAUUACCGUUCUAUUUGACUUUCUCUCGAGUCCGUCCCUAAGCCCUUCCACAAAUCCUUGGAAGACAUGAGAAUGGGA
rnacentral:rRNA from 1 species